rnacentral:rRNA from 1 species
UACGUAGGUGGCAAGCGUUGUCCGGAAUUACUGGGCGUAAAGCGUGCGCAGGCGGCCCGUUAAGACAGGUGUGAAAUCCCUGGGCUCAACCUAGGAAUUGCGCUUGUGACUGGCGGGCUCGAGUACGGUAGAGGGGGGUGGAAUUCCUGGUGUAGCAGUGAAAUGCGUAGAGAUCAGGAGGAACACCGAUGGCGAAGGCAGCCCCCUGGGCCUGUACUGACGCUCAUGCACGAAAGCGUGGGGAGCAAACAGG